UCCAUAACCUUAAGCUAGACGCUUUUAAAAGGUGGUUCGCCUUUUAAACUAAGAAACAAGAACUCUUGAAACUACCUCAAGGUUUUAGAAAGUUGGACCAGAGCUAGUUUUAAGGCUAAAAAACUAACCAAUUUUCUAAGCAUUGUAGAAGUUUGUGUUUAGGACAAGAUUUUUGGACUGGGGUUCGAUUCCCCACAGCUCCACCA
rnacentral:tmRNA from 1 species